rnacentral:rRNA from 1 species
GUCUUAAUGAUAAUUUUUAUUAAGUCUGGCCUGCUCAGUGAUUUUAAAUUAAAUAGCCGCAGUAUUUUGACUGUGCGAAGGUAGCAUAAUCAUUUGUCUUUUAAUUGAAGGCUUGUAUGAAUGGUUGGAUGAGGGAAUUUCUUUCUUUAUAUUAAAUAUUGAAUUUAAUUUUUUAGUUAAAAAGCUAAAAUUUUAUAAUGGGACGAGAAGACCCUAUAGAAUUUUAUUUAUUUUAUUUAUUUAAUAAUUUUUUGGUUAUUAGUUUUAUAUUAAUAAAUAGUAAAUUUUGUUGGGGCGACAGUGAAAUUUUAUUAACUUUCAUAAUUUAUUAUUUAUUAAUUUAUAUGUUAAAGAUCCUAUUUUAAGGAUAUAUAGAUUAAAUUACCUUAGGGAUAACAGCGUAAUUUUUCUGGAGAGUUCUUAUUGAUGGAAAAGUUUGCGACCUCGAUGUUGGAUUAAAAUUAGAUUUAAGUGCAGCAGCUUAUUUAUCUAGGUCUGUUCGACCUUUAAAAUUUUAC